AUGGCGGUGUUGUUAUGCCCGUAUGAUGGUUUUAGUACAGCUGAAGAGGUGGUGUUUGAUCAUAUGCCCAUCUGGCUCCAGAUUCAUAAGAUUCCGGACCCCUAUUGUAAGAAGAACAUCAUCGAGAAGCUGUUGAGGGGUGCCGGCGAGAUCUUGGAGAUGCGCCUGAACGGCAAUACUAGGGGGGACUAUGUGUGGGUGAGGGUGAACCACGACAUGCGGCAGCCUCUCACAAAAUUUGUAAGUGUGGUUCUAGCAAAAGAACAUCAGUUUUACCUAGUUAGAUAUGAGAAGUUAGCAAGGUUUUGCAAAGUUUGUGGUCUAAUUGGUCAUGAUCAUAAAUAGUGUGGACUAGGCGUUCACAAUGAAAAGAUGAUGAAGUUUGGGGAUUGGCUCUAUGCUGAUGGCCCUAGUAGACCUCGCCAGCAGAACAGGUCCGAGCAAAUAUUCUGGUUCUCAAACUUUCGGACGGGCUGUGAGCCCUCCUGCUCCUACACCAGCGAGGAAUGA
rnacentral:rRNA from 1 species